rnacentral:rRNA from 1 species
AUGGCCUACCAAGGCGACGACGGGUAGCCGGCCUGAGAGGGCGACCGGCCACACUGGGACUGAGACACGGCCCAGACUCCUACGGGAGGCAGCAGUGGGAAUAUUGCACAAUGGGCGGAAGCCUGAUGCAGCGACGCCGCGUGAGGGAUGACGGCCUUCGGGUUGUAAACCUCUUUCAGCAGGGACGAAGCGAAAGUGACGGUACCUGCAGAAGAAGCGCCGGCCAACUACGUGCCAGCAGCCGCGGUAAGACGUAGGGCGCGAGCGUUGUCCGGAUUUAUUGGGCGCAAAGAGCUCGUAGGCGGCUUGUCGCGUCGACUGUGAAAACCCACAGCUCAACUGUGGGCUUGCAGCCGAUACGGGCAGGCUAGAAUUCGGUAGGGGAGACUGGAAUUCCUGGUGUAGCGGUGAAAUGCGCAGAUAUCAGGAGGAACACCGGUGGCGAAGGCGGGUCUCUGGGCCGAUAUUGACGCUGAGGAGCGAAAGCGUGGGGAGCGAACAGGAUUAGAUACCCUGGUAGUCCACGCUGUAAACGUUGGGCGCUAGGUGUGGGGGACCUCUCCGGUUCUCUGUGCCGCAGCUGACGCAUUAAGCGCCCCGCCUGGGGAGUACGGCCGCAAGGCUAAAACUCAAAGGAAUUGACGGGGGCCCGCACAAGCGGCGGAGCAUGCGGAUUAAUUCGAUGCAACGCGAAGAACCUUACCUGGGUUUGACAUGGCCGCAAAACCUACAGAGAUGUAGGGUCCUUCGGGGGCGGUCACAGGUGGUGCAUGGCAGUCGUCAGCUCGUGUCGUGAGAUGUUGGGUUAAGUCCCGCAACGAGCGCAACCCUUAUUCGAUGUUGCCAGCGCGUUAUGGCGGGGACUCAUCGAAGACUGCCGGGGUCAACUCGGAGGAAGGUGGGGAUGACGUCAAGUCAUCAUGCCCCUUAUGUCCAGGGCUUCACGCAUGCUACAAUGGCCGGUACAAUGGGCUGCGAUACCGCGAGGUGGAGCGAAUCCCAAAAAGCCGGUCUCAGUUCGGAUCGGGGUCUGCAACUCGACCCCGUGAAGUCGGAGUCGCUAGUAAUCGCAGGUCAGCAACGCUGCGGUGAAUACGUUCCCGGGCCUUGUACACACCGCCCGUCACGUCACGAAAGUCGGCAACACCCGAAGCCCAUGGCCUAACCGGUUUUCCGGAGGGAGUGGUCGAAGGUGGGGCUGGCGAUUGGGACGAAGUCGAAACAAGGUAGCCGUACCGAAGGUGCGGCUG